rnacentral:lncRNA from 1 species
CACCUUCUUCCAUAGGCUCGUCUGCCAUUUUAAGGCCAUUUAGCUCGCCGCCGCUCACGUACAGCUCCAUUUUGCGGCAGGGCUCCGGCUCCUCCACGUCCUCCAGCGGAGCGCACGGCACCAUGUCCCGGCUCUCCCCUGCCCGCCGCUCUCCUCCUCAACGGAGGAGCCGCCGCCGCCGCCAGCCGCCUCUGCGCAUUCCCCGCGGCUGCUGGAGGGGCGGCUGAAGGGAGGAGAGACGGGCGGCCGCGGCGGGCCCCCUGCCCACGCAGCGCGGCGGAGCUCGGGCUACUGCUGCUGCCGGCCGGCGGGGGCGGCUCCGCUCUGCGCUCCCCCGCUCACACCCCCCAACAUGGCGGGCGCCGGGGGCGGGGCCUGCACGGCACGGGGGUGACGUCAGCGCGGGACGGAGAAUCCCUGCAUGGCGAGGGGCGGGGGAGCGGUGACGCGCAGAGCCGCGCUGAGGGAGCGGGGUGGGGGGGAGUGUCCGUCAGGGCCGCGGUGGGAGGGCGGCGGCGGCGGCGGCUCUCGGGGCUGACGAACGAGGAGCGAAGGCCUCCAGGUCGGCAGGAGGGCAUUUAAAGCAAGCAAAAUAGUGCCAACGAAGGUGUGGAAAAAAGCCGUCGUGCUAACCAGUGAAGUCACCCCGGCCGAGAGGGUCGUUGUCCCCUCGGUUUUCUGUCUCCGCCCACAGAACUCCACAGCACCUGCGAAACUCGAGGCGCCCGCUUUCCCCUCGGGCAGCGCGGCUGAGGGAAGGCGGGCUGUGGGGAUGCGCUCGGUCGCAGCAGCGCGCAGCCUGAGGGGAGAAAAGUUUUCUGUGGGCCGAUUCUUUGUUCUUCUCUCUUUUUUUUUUUUCUUUUUUCAUUUUCCCUCGUAAUGCAGAGAUGGCAGGGCAUGAAGCAGGCGCUGCAGAGCGGGAAGCCGCGGCACGGCCGGUGCCCGAGCAGCAGGGCCGCCCGCUCCCCUGCUUACACGCGCGGGCGGCCGCCUUUGUCUGAGGGCACGCGUGGGGAGGGGGCGGCAGCACCGCACGGAGGGGGUAAAUAAAAGAGCAUGGAUGAAAAAUAACGUUUUUCCAUCGCUGUUUGAUGCUAGGAGCUGGGGGACAUUAGGUAGCGCUACCAAAAACACCUAUCUUGAAGGACAGCAGGCUGCCUCAGUGACACUGAGUGUUUGUUUAGGCACUGCGUGGAUUCUCAGUGAGCCCUGCCCUUUUGAUACGGCUAGCAAAGAGUCUCAAGCUGCUCUUAACUGCCAGAUAAUUGUGAAGGAAUUAGCAUGACCGACAAAAUGACAGUGCACGUCAUAGUCCUACGUGCUUUCCCUUGCUGAUCUUCUAACUUAGAGGUCAGUCGUGAAACAAACAAGAAUCAGAGUACAGAUGCUGCCCUGCUGCCUUGGUUAAACGAGAGCAACCUGCCUUGCGGCUCACCACUACAGCCCCCGCCACAGGCUGCUGAAGAGUUGCCUAUUGUGAGUGUGUCACUGCAGCACCAGCCAGCUGGCACGUCAGCAUUUCCAAUGCAAACCUAUUUUUAAAGGUCUGUAACUCAACCAUGGAAGACAAAUGUUUUAGACUGAAACAGGGAAUGUGUAGUAGGAAUGUUCUUCAGAAAGUAAGAAGCAUAUGGGAAAAUGGAGGAUCAAAGUUAGCACUGCUUAAUAUUGGGAGAAAGUUUACAUUCUGAAUAUAGAACAGCGUAGGCUGGGUCACUUGUAAGCAUUAUAUUUGUUGUAGUAGGAUGAUAUGUAUAUGGAGCUUUUAGGGCAACUAAGUGAUAGCAGGGGAAGGGACAGGCCCAGCUUUGUGUGCCUUGGUUCACACUGUUCCAUAGCCCAGUGCCUCUGCUUGUUGGUGUUACUGGUAUGCAUCCUCAAGAAUCCAAAUGGACAAAUCAUUUUUUCUGUGAGAUUAGAUAUGUGUGUACUUGAGCAGUGGCUGAGGCAAAUCUUAAUUUAAACAUAAAUAAAUGGAAGUGAGAAGUGACUUUUUAAAAAUGCUCGAGUGCUCGGCAAGAACUGUUACCUGAAAGUUGUACUAUAGAUGCUAUUUCCCUGCAUCUGACUUUCUUUAAUGCCACCAAGGCUUUUCUUUAGCAUCUCAAACAGUGAGAGGCUGCAAACAACUACUCUGCACCCAAGAAGUCCUAACGCUAUAGUGUUUGAGAAGUUCAGAAGAAAGCAACUAUGAAAGUUGUGAUUGUUAUUCAUUUAUUGUCAAAGACUAUGCAAGGGAAAUUAUGAUAUGUGUAGAUAUAGUAAUGACUGAUUCAGAAAAAGUAAAGUCAAGAUUUCUUUUAGGCUGUCUCACAACUAAAGAAACAAAAUAUACUAAUUAAAAAGACAACGGUAUAUCACUGAAAUUCAAAAGUUGGCAAGAUCCGAAAAGGUUUCAAAUGAAUAUUUAAAUUGUACAUGUAUUUUUUCUGUUCCUGUUUUUUUUCUCUUUAGAUCAUCUCAUCUCACCCGUGUCCAUGACUGCACAAAUAUCAGAUUUCCUUUGUUGUGCAGCUUUCAGGUGAGGAUAUUGGAUCUCAUUUGGUCUGCAAUUUUCAGCUGAAUAUUUUUUACGUUUCAGAACCUUAAUUUGUUCAGCAAGUUCUUUCUGUUAUGUUCCUCAGCAUGAUGUCAUAUGGUCAUCUUGACAUUAUAACCUUUUUCCCUGUCAUUUAGUAGAUGAAGGUCUGAAAGUAUCUGGUUUCUAAAAAUUUAUUUACUUUAAAAUUAAUUAUAUGACAAGGCAAAGUUGCUGAGAAUACUCUUCUACCUAGAAAUUCUAAUAAUAAUAAACAGGAUCUGUAGCAAAACCUCAGCUUGUUCAGUGUUAAUAAUAUGAACUUCAGUCACUCAGUUGUCCUUUUUGUAGACCUCAUAACUGUGGCCAACUCACAGCAUCAUCCACGCUUAGUUUGCUUAUUCAGUUUCCCUGGAAGUAUCUAUCACACAUUUGAAAAUAUGAAGAACAGAUUAUUUAUGAGAUGAAAAAUCCCUGCAUAUCAAAUUCUCUGUAUACCAUUCCUAGCAGUACGUAUCUUAGAGAGGUAUGUUAUAGAGCUGCACUAUCAUCUCCCAACUUUGAAGUCAGUCUUCGUCAACCUUGUCCCUAAAGCAGAUUCUUUCAGAAGGAUCCUACAAACACUGUGUUCCUUCGUCCAGCAAUUUUUCCAACAAAGGAAAAGUAAGAAUAUUAUGAUGGGUCAGUUUCUUCUGUUCCCCUCCUCCUGCCAGUUAAUGAUACUGGAAUCUGAACCAUGCUAACCAUGGCAAGUGCAGUGCAGCUCCACCCUAGAAAACAAAGCAGAAAAAGUAGUGUGACUAUGGGAAUAUGUGAAGAGUAUCUAGCUCAGCAAGAUCUCAGGAAGGAAACUAUAUAAAAAGCAAAGUUUGAGGAAACUGCCCAAGCCAAGACUGAAGUUUUUAUUCUGUUUUCACUACAAUCCUGAAAGGGAACAGAUGCAAUUUUUUUUUUCUUUUCUUUUUUGUAGGUUCUGUUCAAGGCAGGAUAUGAACUCUUCUAUUGAUUGUGAAGGUGGUUCAGGGGUGGGUACAGUUAAUUUUAUAGGCCAAGUUUAUUCAAAUUCAUAAUUAUUUCACCUUUAAUCUUUUGUACAAUACAGUUCAACAAUACUUGCACUGUCUGAGCAGUACAACUCUUUCCUAUUGUGUGGAUGGAUUUAUGUGGGUACAAAGCAUGCUUCUGUUAACACAACUUGUUCUCUUACAAGAAGGAAAAAGAACUGUCCUGAGACACAGAGAAUGUUUAGUAGUGUGCUUGUGUCUAUGCCAGAACUGUACCAGCAUAGGAACUGAUUUACACAAAGCUCAGGUACUCUGGAGGGUGCGCUCUCACACUGAUAUAAAAGAGUGCAGUGUUUUCAUUCUCAGACCAGUGUCACAGUUGUAGCUGAUUAACCUCUACAUACAGCAUAAAUUGAUCUGGUUCUGAUAAGGUAAAUGUUACAGCAAGAUUUUCAUAUUUCUAUAAACUAAUAUAACAAUGCCAAACCUUUCUAUAUUUUGAUAAAGUUACGGAAGAGUACAAUCAGAAAAUAUUUGAUCAAUAUUGAGUUUGAAUAUGCAAUAUAAAUGUGAGUCUAUAACCCAUUCUAUUUAUACUGAUAUUUAAAAAAUGCAAGUAAAGCCAAGCUCACAUAUGUACUUACAGAGAAGUGAUAUAAAAUAUAUUAUAAACAUCUUGAUGUUGUUAAACAGUUCAUUAUGUAGUAUGCCCCACCCUACUGAGGAGAAAGAAGUCAAUUACAUGAAAAACAGCAAGAACCACUUUUCUACUCAGUUAUGGUUAUGCUGAAUGUGUGAAGCACAAGUGAAGAGGCACUUACUGAAUUCCUGCUUCAGCUUUAUGAUUAUAUUUUUACAAUUACAUCUUUUGUACUUUUGUAGCAAGUUUUCAAGAAGCCUGUUUAUGCAUAAGAAUGCAAACCAAUUUAAGUGAUGACACUCAUAGUUCAACACCUUGAGAAAGAGCCUUGCCACUUGCUAUUUCUCAUUUCUCAGGCUAUUACACAGGAGUAGCCUGCUAGCCCCACAGGACUUACCUGGCAGCAAAUUUUGCCACUUUUAUCCAAAAUGAGCUGAAGAAAGUUCUCAGAAAACACAGUGUAUUUCUGCUGGUCACAUUGCAUCAACAACAGGGAGCAAAAGCUAUAUAGGCGCAGCGAGUGAAACUCCCGCUAGACAUUUUAUGUCUACGUAAAUUUCUUUUUUUUCACUUAAUACUUUGGAGUUGUUCUUCGUUUCAAAAUGCAUUUUGAAUUCAAAUAUCCUACAGUGUAAUUUUUUAUUUUUAUUUUUUUUUUGCAAACCUGGGUGAGUGCUUCAAACCAGCCAAAUGACACAUCUCAGAAAUUGUAUACAGUCAAAGCAAAAGCUGCAGACAGUCACGUUAAAGGUCCAGUGUCCUGUCUCUAAUGAUGGCCAAGAAAGCAGAUGCCAGACAGAAAAUAUAAACAGGGUGAGCAAUACCUAACUAUAAUUCUCCAGAGUUUGAUUUCAACCUCCACUGAUUUAGCUUUCUUGAACCAUGGAUGUAUAUUUUGCAGCAUUAUUCUUGAUUGAGAUUUCUUCCAUGGAUUUACCCAAGCUGCCUUGUGUCUGUAAAUUUUUAGCAGCAAUAACAUCUCACCAGUUCCACAUCUGUACCUUAUCUCAAAAAGUCUCAGUUUAAGCGUACUGCUUAAUUUCAUCUGACAUUCCCCAGCUGUACAUUGCAAAGGAGAGGGAUUACUCACUCUCUUCACAUUGUUCAUGAUUGUAUGUGUGGUGUAUCUCCCACCUUUACCAUCCUGCUGUGCUCUUCUCUGUUGCCCAGGUUCCUGAGCUGUUCAGACAGUCAUGAAUUAAGGUAGGGAGAAUCCAGUUUCUUAGUACACAUUUUUACUAGUGAUCUGGAAGCAAAUAUAAAAUAGCUACCAAUAGCAUGCACAAAUUACAAAGGGAAAGGAAAGUAAUGAGCAGUCAUUAGCUAUCAAAGUCCUCUGGGGAAUGACAAACAACUCAAAGCAAAUUACAGACUUACCACAAGGAUUGGAUAGAAAAGCAACAAUCUGGUGAAGAGGGAGUUUGUUUUACAUCCAUGAACGCUGCUGCAGAGACAGAGACGCAGGUUUUGUGUAUAGUUUUGGAGUCUGUGCUUGGAAAAGCACAGCAGCAAACCACAGAAAUACUCUAGCCUCUACUUAAUGACUUACUGUGGAAAAACCAAAAGGAGCAGCUUUAUCAAACCCAUACUCAUCAACAAGAAUUUAUUGGGUAGCUCAGUUCCCUUUCCAAGGACUACAGAAGAAAACUAGAGCAACUAUAUAUACUGUAUGAACACCUAAGCUCAGCUGAGGCAACUGCAGGCCAGAAAAAGUAUUUAAAUAUUGAAAUGAAUUGUGACAACAGUCUGAACACACCAAGAGAUGACAAAUCUACUAUAAGCAGUUGAUCCUAUUUUUUAAAACCGACUCUGACAUACUUCAGUAUUUUCCAAAACUUGCUCCAUUAUUUUUCUUCAAACCCGUCCAAUCCUUGAAGCUGAAGCCAAACCUGAGAAAGCCACCUUGAAUUCACAGCCAAUUUUACCUCAGAGCACAGAACAGACCAUUAUGAUGUCCGAGCAUGCAAAUGUAUCAAAAAUGAUGAAUGCUUGAGGAAUUGAUUGCAUCUGAAAUCAUCAUGAUCUCAAUACCCAGGCAAGGUUUUGUGACGGCAGAGUGUGUUACUUUUAAAAUGAUCUGGAGCCAAAGCUGUUGCCAGUCCCUAACUAUAGAUAGGAACCUACAUGUCAAACUGCAGGCUUCAAACUAGUAUCAUAAUCAUCUCAGGUGAAAAAAAUGUUCGCAUUUUGUAAGAUUGUUAUUAAAGAACCAUGCUUAGAAAAAUGUCUCAACCUAAAAAAUGAAAUAGGGACUUAGUACCUGUCAGCAGUCAUUCAGUGGUAGCUGUUUGUGUCUCGAGGCAUAAAUGUACCCAGUUAAAAUAUUAAAUUUAGUAAUUGUUUUCUCCUUGCUGUGGAACAAAAGGACUUUCUGCAUGAGUAAUCACUGUGUUCCUGGUAAUACAGGGUAGGUCGCUGAAUACCACUUCAGUCAUACUAGUUUAGGGCUUCGGAUAAUUGCUGCAACAGUCGUACUUUUGGAAUACUCACUCCUGGAGAAAACCACCACACCUCCCCAGCCCUCUACUGUUCUCCUGGCUUCCAUUGAUCAAUAUAUCUCGGAUUGAUUGCUAUUUUUUCUCCACUGUUAUCAAGGUUAUUUUCAAGCCGUCUUGACUUUGCUUCUGUUCCAAUUGGGACACAACUUGACUCAUCAGUUCUUUAUUUGGAAUACACAUCACAUUUCUUCACUUCAUCACUUCUCCCAGUGAGGUCAUUUGUUUGUGGCCAUUCAAUACUUCAUUCAAGAGCAGAUUUCUCAAUUUAAUUCAUUUUCGUAUUAGCCUGCGCAAAGAGUCUUUCUUAAAGGCACAGUUAAGCCAUGUACCUAUUUUGCAGGGGGAAGUCAGGAUAUAAACAUAUGGUAGAAGCCGAGGACAUUCUGAAAUGCAUUUCAGAACAAGUAUCUGAAGCCCAAAUUCUUUUUCCAUAAAAAAUGGUGAAUGUAUUCAUAAUAACAUGAUCAUUCUCUAAGUAAUUGCUAUCAGGAUUUUAAUUUAAACCUCAUUUGAUUGACAUUUCUUGUUUGCAAGGUAUCUAUUUUAGGAAUAAUGUCUUGCUAGUAUAUCUCUCCAUCUUAGUCAUGACUGAUAACAGAAUAAUCAUCUCAACUACUUUCCUUUUCUUUCCUUGCAUAAUGGCUUCACUGCAUUUUUACAUACCAAACAGGCAAGAAUAGAAACAAUUAGACAAAAUAACAGUAUUAUAUGCAGAUGAGCAGGUAAGUGAAUAGAACUUGCCUGAAACUCUAUCCUAGCCUAUAUAUCAGGCUGAGACCCCUUUGUAGUCACAUACGGUUUGUUUAACAGACUAAGGGAAGAUGCAUAUUUUUCUCUGUAGUAUGUCUGUAACUCACAUUACUCUAAAUUGGCACUACAUACUUGUAUUAAAUACAGAAUUUCUACGUGCCAUCACUCCUAACUGCUCUUUACUUGUCCUGCUUUAGCAUGCUGCUCUGCCUGAGCUAACAGUUCAGUCCUGUCAAUGCUAUCGGUUAACACAACACUACUGGUAAAGUCAGAGCUAUUUACUGCACUCACAUGGAGCUUUCCCAAGACAAAUCUGAAGCAAAAAUUACAGCUGUAAUUUAUUUUUGAACAGUAUCUUUCAUGCAGGGAAAUGCCACAAAAUGCCUCACUGUUCAUUUCAUUAUCUUGUUUCUUCUACCACUUUAAUAAAGAACAGUGGUCGUAGGGCAGCUGAAUGCUCAGUUAAAAAAGGACAUUACUUGUUACUAUUUCCAGUUCUUGGUAAUAUUUUCUCAUGUGCCAUAAAUCUAUGAGGACAAGAAAUUACAAAGAGUUUUCAACAAGUUGACUUUGACACUGAAAGAGCUGCUUCUCCUUCUAAUGACAAGCUGUCACAGGCAUUGAUCAGUAGCCAUGGCAGAACAGAUGAAAGCAGUAAAAAAUGACAGAUGAACAGACUUCUUAAUGAUAAGGAAAAAAUACAGUCCAAACCAUUUGAGAGGCAGAUUCUCAUUGGCUUUAAUGGGAGAGGGUUUUUUUUAGUAAACGUUGUGUAUUGGCUUCAGUGAGUAAUGAGAGCACUUAACAAAGGAAGCAUCUCAUAGAAUGAGGUCAGACUUUUAAAGAAUGGCUAUUACCCAGCAAAGCAGAACAUCAGCAGGUCACUACAGAGUAAACAAUAAAUAACUUUCUGUUAACAGGAAGGAUAAUGCUAGGAGGAGGCACCCUGAACACCCCAAGGAGGCUACAAAAGGCCAUUUCUGGCCUGCUUUAUGUUUACAGCAUUCAAGCAGCCAGUGGUGCUUCAAUAAGAAUAAGCAAAUCAGAAUUGAGCCCAAUAGCUGAUACGACAAGACUCAAGAGAAGGAGCUGGAUACAGAGUCUUGCUGCUAAAACACUGCUAUUACACAGACCAUAUUAAAGGGGAUGCGAAGGAGGCAAAGGCUGCAUCAAAAUUAAAUUCCGUAGCAAUGCUGUUGCAGUACUAUUCAGUGAAACUUCAGUAACUUCACAAACAGGAUUGCUCCUUUUCUAGCAGUGCAGGCAAGAUGUGAUUGCAUCGCUUUCUUGUAAGAGGAAAACCUUCUGUCUGCGUCCCCAUGCUGCAGCCAGGGAAGUGCUCCAGGGCUGGCUUUGCACCUUUUCCCCUUCUGAGCUAGAUGGGUAUACGUGGUUGGAUGCUUAGUACUCUACAGAAACACCAGUGGAUCUUAUGGCUGGGUAAAUAAAGUCCUACUUUUAUUAAAUGCCAGGUUUUUAAACUUGUAAUUCUGAGCAUCAACGUUUAUGUAAUGGAAGAACAGCUGCUGAUAUUUUUUCUUGCAACCAACACUAUUUAGCACCAAUUUUGGAAGGACGACAAAAAGCACCAGAGAUGGACCCUUAAAAAGAGAAGGAUCUGAUUUCUCAAUAUAAAAAAUCUGCUGAAAAUUAAGUACAUUGUGUGCUACCGAGUCAGCUGUUUUGCCUCCAGACCGUCCAUCUCUCAGCUGGCAUCGAUUUCACAGAGAGCUGCUAAAACCUUUUUGCGUGAUCCUCAACAUUUCCUGAGAGAUUCAACUCUUCGGGGACUUCAAGACUCCAGUCUGACACGUGGGUUAUUGCAGCCCUGGUGCAGUGUAUCCAGAAAGCACUCUGACACAGCACCUGGGGACGGUCUGCCCCAGUCGGGGCGUUGGUCAGCCUCGCUUCUGGUGCAGUGCUUCUGCACAGCUCCUGGCUGCCUCCUGCAACAGCCUCCGCCCAAGCUGUAUUUCUUCCUUUUACUACAAAUUAGAAAUACAUAUUUACAAGCUCUAAUUAUAUUUCAAUGACUAAUCUGUUGAAGGAGUCACCGAAAAAAAAAAAAAAAGUAGAUUGAAGUUAUCAGGACAGAUCUUGGAUAGAGAAAGUACAGCUCGAUUUAUUUCGAAGCAUGAGGUAGAUGGGUUCAGUAACUCAUGGUGUAGAAAUGGACGGUGCUCUGACUUUGCUGUCAACAAGCUGCCUUCUCUUCUCUUGCUCUUUCUUCCACAUCUGUUUGUGUACUCAAACCCUUCCCGACGCUGCCUUUGCAUAUCUUACAUAAUU